CGGUGGAUUAUGUGGAUUAAUUCGAUGCAACGCGAAAAACCUUACCUACCCUUGACAUGUCCUGGAGGCUCCAGAAAUGGCUUCCCGGCGGGAACAGGUGUGACGAGCGCAACCCUUGUCAUUAGUUGCUACGGGAUGUCAAGUCUCAUGGCCCUUAUGGGUAGGCUUCAUACAUGGCGCGUACAAGGGCUGCUAAGCCGCGAGGUAGAGCCUCCCUUAAAGCGCGUCGUAGUCCGGAUUGCAGUGCAACUCGACUGCAUGAAGUCGGAAUCGCUAGUAAUCGGGAUCAGCAUGUCGCGGUGAAUACGUUCCCGGGUCUUGUACACACCGCCGUCACACCAUGGGAGUGGGUUUCACCAGAAGCCUGUCGCUUAACCGCAAGGAUGGCGCCGACCACGUGAGAUUCAUGACUGGGGUGAAGUCGUACAAGGU
rnacentral:rRNA from 1 species